rnacentral:tRNA from 1 species
GUGGGAUUAGCUCAGUUGGUUAGAGCAUCAGUUUGUGGCACUGAGGGCCGUGGGUUCGAAUCCCAUAUCCCACC